GAUGUUGGCUUAGAAGCAGCCAUCAUUUAAAGAAAGCGUAAUAGCUCACUGGUCAAGUUGUUUCGCGCCGAAAAUUUAUCGGGGCUAAGCUUAUUACCGAAGAUGCGGGUUGUCCAUGUAAAUGGACAGCGGUAGAGGAGCGUUCCAAUUCCGUUGAAGUCGCAACGUGAGUUGCGGUGGAGGAUUUGGAAGUGAAAAUGUUGGCAUAAGUAGCAAAAAGGCAAGUGAAAACCUUGCCCACCGAAAAUCUAAGGGUUCCUGGGCAACGAAACUCGACCCAGGGUUAGUCGAUCCUAAGGUGAGGCCAUUGUAGUGGUGGCGUAGCCGAUGGAAGAGCUGGUUAAUAUUCCAGCACUACUAUAAUUUUCCGAUGGGGGGACGCGUUGACAAAGUUUAAGCGUACUAUGGUUUGUGCGUUGUUGGCUUGGCCGUGCCGCCUAGGCAAAUCCGGGUGGCGUUAGCGGCUGAGUUGACUGCCGGCAAAGCUUUCGGGCGGCGCCAAUUUAAGCGGAGUCAGCGCCAAGAAAAUCCUCUAGGGCUAAGAUUAUAGUAAUCGUACUGCAAACCGACACAGGUAGAUGAGGCGAGGAGCCUAAGGUGUACGAGAGAACCUUCGUUAAGGAACUCGGCAAAUCAGCGGUCGUAAGUUCGCAAUAAGACCUCCCUGCGCAAGCAGGGCGCAGCUAAAGACAGCCAAGUGACUGUUUACCAAAAACACAGCUCUCUGCUAAAUCGUAAGAUGAUGUAUAGAGGGUGAUGCCUGGCCAGUGUCCGAACGUUAAGGGGAGAGGUUAGCCGUAAGGCAAAGCCUUGAACUGAAGCGCGGAUGAACGCCGGCCGUAACUAUAACGGUCCUAAGGUAGCGAAAUUCCUUGUCGGGUAAAUUCCGACCUGCACGAAUGGCAUAACAACUUGGUUACUGUCUCGACGAAGGACUCGGCGAAAUUGCAAGACGAGUAAAGAUGCUCGUUAAUCAUAGUUGGACGAGAAGACCCCAUGAAGCUUUACUAUAACUUGAUAUUGGUUUAGGGCUAUACAUGUUCAGGAUAGGUGGGAGCCUUCGGGCGCCGGUGAGAUACCACCCUUGUAUAGUUUUAAACCUAACCUUAGACCAUGAAUCUGGCCAAGGGACAGUGUCUGGUGGGUAGUUUGUCUGGGGCGGAUGCCUCCCAAAAGGUAACGGAGGCGUUUACCAAGGUUGGCUAUCCCGGGAUGGAAAUCCGGGAGAUAGUGUAAAGGCACAAGCCAGCUUUACUGCGAGACCUGCAAGUCAAGCAGUCGCGAAAGCGGAACUUAGUGAUCCGACCAUUCAAUAUAGGAUGGUGGAAGCUCAACGGAUAAAAGCUACUCUGGGGAUAACAGGCUAGUCACGCCCAAGCGUCCACAGCGACGGCGUGGUUCGGCACCUCGAUGUCGGCUCGUCGCAUCCUGGGGGUGGAGAAGCUCCCAAGGGUUGGGCUGUUCGCCCAUUAAAGCGGCACGCGAGCUGGGUUCAGACCGUCGUAAGACAGGUCGGUCUCCUAUCCACUAUGAUCGCGGAAACUUGAGAAGGCGCUUCCCUAGUACGAGAGGACCGGGAAGCACGAAGCUCUGGUGUACCAGCUGUCCUACCAAGGGCAUCGCUGGGUAGCUAUCUUCGGUUAGGAUAAGCGCUGAAAGCAUAUAAGUGCGAAGCCGUCUUCAAGAUUAGGUUUCAUAGACUCCCGGGAGACUACCGGGUUGAUAGGUUCUAGGUGUAAGCGCAGUAAUGCGUUGAGCCGAGGAAUACUAAUAAGUCAUUUGAUUUUC
rnacentral:rRNA from 1 species